rnacentral:rRNA from 1 species
CAGGCCUAACACAUGCAAGUCGACCGGUGGUAGCAAUGUCAUAACCGCUCACCGGUGCGUAACACGUAGCUAACCUACCCAUAACUGGGGGAUAGCCCGCCGAAAGGCGGAUUAACACCGCAUAACAUCUACUGGUGGCAUCACCACUUGAUUAAAUCUACAGACGUUCUGGAUGGGGCUGCGGGUCAUUACCUAUUUGGUAAGGUACUGGCUUACCAACGCGACCAUGACUACGGGAGCUGACAGGCUGGUCCCCCACACUGGCACUGACAUACAGGCCCUACUCCUACGGCAGGCACCAAUAGGGAAUAUAGGGCAAUGGGCGAGAGUCUGACCCAUCCAUGCCGCGUGCAGGAAGAACGCUUUCUGAGUCGUAAACUGCUUUUGGUAGGGAAGAAUAAUGUGUACGUGUACACCGAUGACGGUACCUACAUAAUAAGCACCGGCUAACUCCGUGCCAGCAGCCGCGGUGAU